rnacentral:rRNA from 1 species
AGAGUUUGAUCCUGGCUCAGGACGAACGCUGGCGGCGUGCUUAACACAUGCAAGUCGAACGGAAAGGCCCUUCGGGGUACUCGAGUGGCGAACGGGUGAGUAACACGUGGGUGAUCUGCCCUGCACUUUGGGAUAAGCCUGGGAAACUGGGUCUAAUACCGAAUAUGACCACGCUCUUCAUGGGGUGUGGUGGAAAGCUUUUGCGGUGUGGGAUGGGCCCGCGGCCUAUCAGCUUGUUGGUGGGGUAAUGGCCUACCAAGGCGACGACGGGUAGCCGGCCUGAGAGGGUGACCGGCCACACUGGGACUGAGAUACGGCCCAGACUCCUACGGGAGGCAGCAGUGGGGAAUAUUGCACAAUGGGCGCAAGCCUGAUGCAGCGACGCCGCGUGAGGGAUGACGGCCUUCGGGUUGUAAACCUCUUUCACCAGGGACGAAGCGCAAGUGACGGUACCUGGAGAAGAAGCACCGGCCAACUACGUGCCAGCAGCCGCGGUAGUACGUAGGGUGCGAGCGUUGUCCGGAAUUACUGGGCGUAAAGAGCUCGUAGGUGGUUUGUCGCGUUGUUCGUGAAAACUCACAGCUUAACUGUGGGCGUGCGGGCGAUACGGGCAGACUAGAGUACUGCAGGGGAGACUGGAAUUCCUGGUGUAGCGGUGGAAUGCGCAGAUAUCAGGAGGAACACCGGUGGCGAAGGCGGGUCUCUGGGCAGUAACUGACGCUGAGGAGCGAAAGCGUGGGGAGCGAACAGGAUUAGAUACCCUGGUAGUC